rnacentral:rRNA from 7 species
ACGAACGCUGGCGGCGUGCUUAACACAUGCAAGUCGAACGAUGAAGCCCUUCGGGGUGGAUUAGUGGCGAACGGGUGAGUAACACGUGGGCAAUCUGCCCUUCACUCUGGGACAAGCCCUGGAAACGGGGUCUAAUACCGGAUAAUACCUGCCUGGGCAUCUGGGUGGGUUGAAAGCUCCGGCGGUGAAGGAUGAGCCCGCGGCCUAUCAGCUUGUUGGUGAGGUAGUGGCUCACCAAGGCGACGACGGGUAGCCG